CGCUACCCGACCGCUAUUUAAAUCCCUGGCCAACCGUCCGACGAACGUAAACUUUCCCUAAGGAUUCUUAUUGAGAUAAGGAGAUUUUAAGCUUUCAGUGGCAUCCGGAAGAACAUGGAUGAACCUGGUGGACAACAUCACACCGGCAACGAAAGCUUUGAUUAAGAAAUUUAUCUGGACGUAAAGCCUCGAUGACUUUCCCGAGCAGAGGGAAGCAAACACCGAUGGCUCCCGCAACGAGGAUGGAGGUUAUAACAUCUAUCUUAUAUUUAAGCGCUAGAGACUUAUUGCGAUAUAUUCAUCUUCUGGUUCACAGGUACAUUCCCCUUGUACUAGGGAAGGAAUCAGGAUUAAAAAGCAGCAAAAAAAAAAAAGUCAAAACCGGAGGUUGUUUGAAGUUGAUCAUAGCUGCAACUGAAAAUAGAGCCCAACCCAAUUGAGAGACUCAGUGAAAAGUUUCAAAGUUUGAAUAUUGAAGAUGGGAGAGGGAGUGAAUAUAUAUAUAUAAAUAUAUAUGACAAGUGGAGAUGAUAGAGAUUGUUUAGAGAUGGAAGCCAUAAAGAUGUGAUACAAGUGAAGGGAAAGAAAACAUGAAAUCCGAAAUCAUUAACGGCACAGCAUGUUUGGUUCAUGUACACUUUUGGUUCAUUGAAAUAAAUAAUUUAAUAUGAUCAUUAUUAACUAUAAUUUAAUAAAAAAUAAUAAUUUAAUUAUAUUUUAACACAAUUAUUAUUAAAUAUAAUUUAAUAACAUUCUUAAUAUAAUUAUUUUUAUAUUAAAAUAUUUUAUUUUAAAUUAUAUUUUGAAAUAAAAUAUUUUAUAUUGAGUUAAUUUAAUAUUAAAUUAUAUUCAAAUAUUUUAUUUUUACAUUUUUUGAAUCUAAAAUUUAAAAGAUUAAUCUCGAAAUUAAUUUUAUUUUGUUAUUUAAGGUUGGAUACCAAAAAAUAACUAUUACGAGAAAUUAAAAAAUAAAGAAAGAAUAAAUAUUUCACCCAUUCAAUAAAUAAGAGGAACGUACAUUCACUCCAACCAAUUUGGUUUGGCUACAUAAAAAUCUGAUUUGGAAAAGUCAACUAAAGAAAUAAAUAUAUAUGCAAUAUUGCAACUAAAAACUAAUAUAUAUAUAUAAAGAAAUGGUGCUAUUUUAUAUAUGUUUUUAUUAUGGGGUUUCUCUAGUAAGGAAAGGAAGGUGAUGAAAAUGAUAUUAGGCCCCUUUUAUGUUCUUGAACACAACCGUAACGUAAUCCUAAACUAUUCUAGUUUGAUUUCCUACAUCUCUUUUAAUUUGAAUGGGUAUUUGUAAUCAUGCAUCCAAAAUUCCUGGAUGUUCAAAAUUUCAUAAUAUCUAUCAAAAUAUAUACACUAUUAAUACCUGAAAAUUUAGACAUAGAAAAUAGAUUUGCAUGAGAGUCACAUUUGUAAGCUAAAAUCCAAACCAAAAUAACAAGAAUAUAGAAUAGAAAUAAAGAGAUUAUCUUGAUAUGAAGCUCUUCAUUAAGAGGCUUCUGAAUGCUACAGCUGAGAACAAGGGGCAUGCUAAUAAACAAUCAAAUUCAGUACAAGAAUUGCAUGAACCAACUAAAACCAAACCUUAUUUGCAUUGCAUUGCAUCAAUUAACUAAUUUCAUUUCUUUCAAUUCAUACGAGUGUUUUAAAAUCCAUUUUAAGAGAUAAAUUUACUAUAUCUCCGCUUUGCAAAAAAAUGACUAGGUUAACCGUAAAAAAUAGAUGAGAUAAAAUCGAACCCAAUCUUGAGAGACAAUUUAGAUUUCACUUGCUAGUAUCAAUUUCUGCACGAAUAAUAUAACCUAACAAUUUCAUACAAAGAACAAAGAGAUAGGGCGAUAGUGGAUAACCAUGUCUGAUCCCUCUAACUGGCUUAAACUUCUGAGUGGAAACACCAUUUCAUAGGAUCUGCAUAGAAAAAGAAGAAGAUAUGGCUACCAUGAUCAUAGUUCUAAGGAACUCGGGAAUCCCGACAGCUAGCAGAGACACAGCAAUGGUGGAGGAGUUUGUGAGCCACCCUACCACCCUGUUGAAACAUUUCCAUGUGCAUUCUUUUUUUCUUGCCACUCAAAAGUGUGUUGAGCAAUAAUAGAAAUAACUUGCAAUAGUUCAACUUUGAAUUUUCCUAUUAGCUUACGAUAUCUGUUACAUGUGCAAGUUGAAUUAAUCCACUAGCUCCAUGUACUAUUUUUAAUAAUAAAAAAAAGUGUGCAACUAGUUAUAAGUUGAUCAUGAUGAAGAUGGUGGUGUGUUUAGAGUUAUAAGUUGAAUGACUUGAAUGUGGAAGCAAUAGUGUAACAAAAGCGUUUUGAUCAUAAUUUGCAAGCCUGUCUUUCACUUGUACUUUCUAAUUUCGACUCUGUAUGUAUGUAGAAAAAAACAAACAUGGGUAAGAAAACACUUAUCUUCAGUGCUGUCUUUUCUAUGCUUUACAACAUAUAAUUGCAUAUGUUGAAAUUCCAAACUCAAACUGGGUGGAUACUCGUCUUUAAAAGAAAAAAACAAGACACAGUUACGAUUGAGGCCGAUGAUUAAGCGAUUUCAACAUCUCUUGCUAGCAAUACAAAGCCAACAAGUGGAGUUGGAGCAUAUUUGGACUGUUACUAAAGCAUCAAUGAUAAAUAUUACUUGCCACAAAUAAUAAAAUCAACAUGAUAUGAAUGAUAUAAUGAUACCAAUUCGUUAAUAUUUUAGAGUUUAUAUAAAUAAAUGAGCACUAUAAAUAUACUUAUUAAAUAAAAAUACAUAGGUACACGAAUUCUUAAAUGAAAUAAACUUAGAUUUUGUUUGAAAUAAAAUGAAUUAUUUAAAUGUAAACUAAAAUAUCUUAUAUUUAUCAAAUAAUUUAAUUAUAUUUCGUAACUAUCUUAAAUUUUCAUCAUAUUUUUCGAAUAAUUAUUCUUUUUAAUUUAUUAAACAAUAUCUAACUUUUUCAAAUAAUUUAAUUUUACUCUUAGAUGCUCAUGUUUUGCUGCAUUUUCUUUCCCGAAAAAACUAAACAAUUGGAACUAUUUUUACACGAGUAAAAAUAAAAUCGCACCUUUUAAUCUACAAGUUUCACAUUUAUAUUCAGGGAAUAUAUUAUAUUAAGAUCAUCUUAAAAAAUAUAGUUUUUAGGCGCUAAAAAAAUAAUGCCAUGUUAUUAAAUUUUAAAGAUAAAAUAUUAUUAUACAAUCAUAUGUAUCUAAUGUCUUCUCUAACUUAAUUUAACUUUAAUUAAAUUAUUUAAAAUAAUUAAUUUUUUAAAUUAUAAACAAAUCUUUUCUUCUUUUACAAAUUUUAAUCAUUUUAUUUUUUUCCAUAAGUUGAUAUUUUUUAUUUUUGUGCAAUUUUUUUCAUGUCAUUGACACAUAAUUUAGGCAAUUGUUUUACCUUGAACCUUAAACAUUAAAUCCCGAGAUUUAGGGUUUGGAUUUGAGCUUAAACCUUAAACAUUAAACCCUGAGAUUUAGGGUUUGGAUUUGAGAUUUAAGGAUUAAGGUUUAAGAUUUAGGAUUUAGGGCUCAUGAAUUUGGAGUUUAGGGUUCAAGUUUAUGGUUUAAGAGUUUAGGGUUUGAGUUCAAGGUUCAAGGGUUUUGGAUUAUGAGUUCGACGUUUAGGUUUAGGGUUUUAUAUUUUUGAUUCAAGGUUCGAGAUUAUCAAAAUCAAGUGUCAAUGACAUGAAAAAAAUUGGUUAAAUGUAAUUAAAUAAUUAGAAAUGGACCAUAAAUAAUGGGGUGAGAAGGGUCCAUAAAAUAAUUUCUCUAUAGAUGAAUGUAUAAUAAUAAUUUCAUGCUUUUAAAAUUUGAUGAUAUGGAAAAAUUUUAUUAGUGCCUAAAAACCUUAAUUUUUAGGAUCAUCCUUAUGUAAGUUAUUCCCUUAUAUUUAUUGUUUAGAUAGAAAAUAUAUAUUAUUUAAUGAUUUAUAUAUACACAUCUGUAUAUAUAUUUAUUUUUUCAUAUAAUCCUUACUUUUACUUAUAACCCUCAAUUCUCAUAUUGAAGGAAUACAUGUUUAAAUAUAUUUAAAUUCGCAUUCUCUUUAUUGUUAUUGAUAAAGUCAAGAAGAUAGAUAAAGUCUUUACCCCUUAAUUAAAUGAAAACUUUUUUAUUUAACUCCUCUCUAAAUAUAAAAAAAAUAAUAUGUAAUUUUAACAUUUUAACACAAAAAUAAUAACUUUUAACCCUUCCAAAAUUGUAUAAUUUUAUCUGUCCUCGUAAAUAAAAUUUCUAAAUUCAUUUUUGCAAUAAUAAAAAAUUAUUAACAAAAAUAAUUGGAGAACAAGCCAUCAUCCAUUUCAGGAAUUUGCAUCUCUGCAUCUGUCUACUUUCUCAGGUUUUCAAACUUGUCUUUCUCUGCUCUCCUCCACCUUUCAUUUCACUAUAAUUUAUAAUUUUUUACAAUAGUUUUCAAUGAAAUUCCAAUUUUUCUUUUUUAAAUAAACAAUGAAAUUGCGCUGACAAACUCAGAGACGCCACUUUUUGACAUUGUACACUGCACACUGCUCAUGGAUCCUCAGAAAUAAGAGGAAAGCCAUCAAUGCUUUUAAAGGGUUACAGUUACAAGUUUAUAACACUCCACAAGCACUACCCAUCUUCAUGAUUUUUAAGAGAGACCUAUACGAAAGAAAAGUGGACUGGAAAUGAAUGGUUUGACAGUUACCUGUUUUCCCUUCCCGGACCAGAAUGAAUGUUAAUUCCGUCUGAAAACACACUUACAAAAAUGGGAUUGGCAUUAGAUUGGGGAUUCCUUAUCCUAAAUUUUAGACACAAAACAUGGGCUUAGCAAAUUAGCAUCCACUCUCGUACAACUUGUCUAAGGUCCCUUGGACUUUCACAUGCUCCCAAAUAUCUCUGUUCUUUCUAAAGUUUAUCUCCCGACUUAUCUAUUUGGAAACUGAAUCCCACAAACUCAACAUAUUUUACUUUAAAUUUAAAUGCUUUUAAGGUUUAAUAUAUCAUUUACUACUUUUAAGUUUGACAUCUUUUUCUAAUAUCGUAUUUGUUUCAUUUUUUUUGGUUUAAUAUGAUAUUUAUAUUUGAUAAAUAUUAUAUAUUUUUGUAUUCAAAGGUAUUCGUGUUAAUGUUUUAGUGUUUAGUUCAGAUUUUAAGGUUGAUUUUGAUGAAAAUUAAUUGCCAACAUUAUUAGGUUUGAAUUUUUCAUCAUUUUUAUUAAUAGAAUAAAUUUAGUGUUAAUUGUAAAUUCGUUUAAUUUUACAUUUAUUUUGUCAAAUAAUAGUCCGGUCAAUGUAAUUUAAUUCGGGUUUUAUGCUUGAUUUGAUAAAAGUUAAUUGUUAAUAUUGUUAGCUAAUAAUGAUUUUUUAUCAAAUCAACUCUAGAACUUGAAUUAACUACUAAAAAAUUAACAUUGUUACUUUUAAAUAUCAAAAUGUAUAAAUUUUAUCAAAUACAAGUACUACAUUAAAAAAAAAGUUAAGUCACUUAUAGGUGCUAAUCUUAAAUUUAAUUUCAAGUGGGAGUACAUGUGGAAUUGAAUGUAUAACCCAAUCUACGGGGCAAUUUGAUUAAAGAGAUUUUUAAUAGGGAUAAAUUUUAAAAUUACUCAUAAAUUUUAAUUUAAUGUGCAAUUGUAUAUAUAAAUUUUAAUUUGGUGUAAUUAUAAACGUGAAAUUCUAAUUAUGGUUCAAUUAUAUACUUGAAACUUUAAUUUUGGUUUAAUCAUUAUACAUUUUAAAAAAAUAAAUAUAUCAAUUUAUUUUUAUAUUAGAUAAAUAUAAUUAAUAAAAUGAUGUUAUAACAAUAAUUGUGUUAAUAAUUUAUCGGAAUUGAAUCAAAUCAAAAUUUUAUGAAAAAAAUUGUAUAAAAUCAAAAUUUAUAUAUACAAUUAUAUAUUAAACCAUAAUUCAUACAUAGUUUUGAAAUUUAUCCCGACUAACUAAUUACAAAUAUAUAUAUUUUUAAUAUGAAAGGAUACCUGAAUUUCUUUAUAAGGAUUUAAAACCAUAAUUUUCCCUUUUUUUUAAUGUAUGAAACCGAUGAAAAAGAGGCUGAAAGGCUUUCGUCUUCUCCACGACUAGCUUAAAUAGGGAAUUCCUAUUAUUAAUGAUAUAUAGAUGCUAUUUCUUUUUAUUUUACUAUAAAUUCAAAUGUUGACUUUCAUAAUUUAUUUUAUGUAAAUAAUAAAUAAAAUAAUUAUUUAUUAUGACACUCAUAUAAUAAAUAUUAAGGUCCCACCUGAUGUGGCGUAGAGCUAGGACGUGUCUGACAGUUAUUUAUUCUUUAGUAAAUAUAUUAUUAUAAGGAUAUUUAUUUUCUAUAAAAUUACCAAAAAUUUAUUAUUUUAAAGUAAAAAAAAAUAUUAUUAUAAGGGUGUUUAUUUAUUUUUAUAUUAUUAUACAAAAUUUAAAAAAUUAGAGGCAACAUAGAUUAAACUUAAAACAAUAUGAUUUAAUAUUUUAACUAAAGCCUCACUCCUUUUUUUACUUUAUUCAAUUAUUUUAUAAAUAUUUUUAUUAUAUAAAUUUUUUUCACUCACAUCGUUAACGUAUAAUAAUUUAGUAAUUAAAGAAAAAUAAUGUAAAUUUUUUUGGUAAAAUGAAAAUUCAGACUUACACUAAUCUUAAAGAAGGUGAUCAUCGGCUAAUAGAUCACAACUUGAGUUUUAUACAAAAAAUAUCUAACUUUAAACUUAACAAAAAGAUAUUCGUCAUUCACCUACUAAUUUUGUUUAUUAACAAUAACAUGUGGACUAAAGUGAAAAAAAGAUUGUGUUGAAAUCUUUUCAACUAAUUUUAAUUACUCCCAAAUAAUCAGAUAACUUUUUUAAAAUUACAAUAUUAUUAUACAAAGAAGAAUGAAGGUUGAGAUAAAUAAAAAGAAGAAACUAAAAUUGGAUUGGGUAUUAACUUGAUGGAUGAAUCUAAAUAUGAUCAUGGAAAUGUACCAAGUUUCUAACUGUAUAAGGCAGCAGAAUUUUUUAUUUGGAUUUUAGAAAUUGACAUUCUUAUAAUUUUCUGUGCGGAGACUUUUAGUUAACGAGGACAUAGAAAAUUACAUCAUGCCUCUUGGGAUGCCCCAACUCGCCCUAACAAACACGUUUCAAAAUUCCUGGUAUUUGGUUAGUGCAUACGAAGCUAAUAUUGCAAUUAAAAAUAGAAAAGCUUGUGAUUCUAUUAACAUACAUAUAAACUUCUUGCUUUCAUAUACUCAAACUUUUUAAUCAAUACUAUGUUUUUAUGUAAAAGCAACCAAAAAAAAACCCCCCGAAUUUAAGCCCAAAUAGCCAAGAGAGACAUAAGACCAGCCCCAAGGAGAAGAGAAACACUGGCUCCAACUUGAAGUAUUCCAUUGCUUUGUAACUUUGGGUUCAUGAAAUCAGCGGCUAGAAGAUCCACCAACGCCAUGUAUAUUAAGAUCCCAGAUGAUGCCGCGUUCAAUAACCCUUCCACAAUCAGUGCCGUUGGGCUGUUCUCAUCGUAUGCAUUUGUUAUUGCUAUUCCUAUAGCGAUUCCUACUGGUGUUGUCAGCGAGAAAAACAGUGACAUGAUUGCAACCGAUCGACCCUUGAAUUUAGCCUUUAAAAAACCAUUCAAUGCUAAUGAAUACAACAAACUCCUGACGAAGAGUAGGUCUUAAGCAUGGGUUUGAAUUUACCUGAGAAAUGCAUCCACCAAGUCCCAUGCCUUCGAAGAACUGAUGAAAGGUGAGUGCUGCCACCAAAGGUUUUAUAGUCUUUGGACUUUCUGAAGCACCCAAUGAUAUCCCUAUGAUCACAGAGUGCACCACUAUGCCCAAUUCCAAUACCUUUGAACAUCAAUCAGACAAACAGUUACAGAAAAUAUAGAAAAAAAUAACAAAAACCAAAAUCACGAUUGAUGAAAUAAAAUUUACCUGAGAGACUACUCGAUGCCGAAGGAGCUGAGCUGAAUCUGCACGCUCAAGCAUAGAAACAGAACCAUGAGAAUGGCCAUGGGUGGCAUGAGUAUGAACAUGCAGAUGAUUUUCGGUUUGCUCUGUUUUCUCUUCAUCACCCUCGUGGUUCUGUUGGGUUUUGUGAAGGUGAGAUUUGGUGUAAUGAGAUGUAGCAAACACAUCAACCAUCAAUGUGCCAAUGGCCGCCGUCAUAGCCAACAGUCCGGCGAACGGAAACUUUCCCCAAGGAUUCUCAUUGAGGCAAGGAGAUGUUAAGCUUUCAGUGGCAUCCGGAAGAACAUGGAUGAAGCCGGUGGACAAGAUCACACCGGCGGCGAAAGCUUUGAUUAAGAAAAAAAGAUUUUUAUCGGGACGUAAAGCCUCGAUGACUUUCCCUAGCAGAGGGAAGCAAACACCGAUGGCUCCCGCAACGAGGAUGGAGGCUAUGGCAGCUAUCUUAUAUUUAAGCGCUAGAGACUUAUUGCGAUCUUCAUCUUCUGGUUCACAGGUACAUUCCCCUUGUACUAGGGAAGGAAUCAGGAUUAAAAAGCAGCAAAAAAAGGUCAUAAGCUGAGGUUGUUUGAAGUUGAUCAUGGCUGCAGCUGAAAACAGAGCCCAACUCAAUUCAGAAGCUCAGUGAAGAGUUUCAAAAUUUG
rnacentral:lncRNA from 1 species